rnacentral:lncRNA from 1 species
AUGGAAAUUUUGUGGAAGACGUUGACCUGGAUUUUGAGCCUCAUCAUGGCUUCAUCGGAAUUUCAUAGUGACCACAGGCUUUCAUACAGUUCUCAAGAGGAAUUCCUGACUUAUCUUGAACACUACCAGCUAACUAUUCCAAUAAGGGUUGAUCAAAAUGGAGCAUUUCUCAGCUUUACUGUGAAAAAUGAUAAACACUCAAGGAGAAGACGGAGUAUGGACCCUAUUGAUCCACAGCAGGCAGUAUCUAAGUUAUUUUUUAAACUUUCAGCCUAUGGCAAGCACUUUCAUCUAAACUUGACUCUCAACACAGAUUUUGUGUCCAAACAUUUUACAGUAGAAUAUUGGGGGAAAGAUGGACCCCAGUGGAAACAUGAUUUUUUAGACAACUGUCAUUACACAGGAUAUUUGCAAGAUCAACGUAGUACAACUAAAGUGGCUUUAAGCAACUGUGUUGGGUUGCAUGGUGUUAUUGCUACAGAAGAUGAAGAGUAUUUUAUCGAACCUUUAAAGAAUACCACAGAGGAUUCCAAGCAUUUUAGUUAUGAAAAUGGCCACCCUCAUGUUAUUUACAAAAAGUCUGCCCUUCAACAACGACAUCUGUAUGAUCACUCUCAUUGUGGGGUUUCGGAUUUCACAAGAAGUGGCAAACCUUGGUGGCUGAAUGACACAUCCACUGUUUCUUAUUCACUACCAAUUAACAACACACAUAUCCACCACAGACAGAAGAGAUCAGUGAGCAUUGAACGGUUUGUGGAGACAUUGGUAGUGGCAGACAAAAUGAUGGUGGGCUACCAUGGCCGCAAAGACAUUGAACAUUACAUUUUGAGUGUGAUGAAUAUUGUCAGGUUGCCAAACUUUACCGUGAUUCCAGCCUAGGAAACGUUGUGAAUAUUAUAGUGGCCCGCUUAAUUGUUCUCACAGAAGAUCAGCCAAACUUGGAGAUAAACCACCAUGCAGACAAGUCCCUCGAUAGCUUCUGUAAAUGGCAGAAAUCCAUUCUCUCCCACCAAAGUGAUGGAAACACCAUUCCAGAAAAUGGGAUUGCCCACCACGAUAAUGCAGUUCUUAUUACUAGGUAUGGUUUGUUGCAAGUAUUUUUCCAUUGAUUGUUGUGUUUAUUCACUAUUGUAAUAAAUUUGGUUCUAUGUAAAGCCUCAUUCAGAUAAUGAGUAUAGAGAAAGCAAAAUGGUAAUUUAUUUUUCACUACUGAGAAAGAAUGUAUUACACUAUUAUU